rnacentral:tRNA from 1 species
GCUCAGAUGGUGGAAUCGGUAGACACCCAGGAUUUAAAAUCCUGUGGGCUUCACGGCCCGUGCGAGUUCAAGUCUCGCUCUGAGCA